AGCAUUAGAAAGCAAUGUAGGAAUUAAAUUAAAUUAUACAAUUUGUUCCCUUCACUUAUAAACUUCUAAAAGUAAAUAUUAAAAAGAUAAGAAAUCAGGAAUUGUACCAGAUUUUGUUGUGAAGGUUCGACGAUAUGUGUUGACAUACUUCCGAACAUCAUCCUCCUUAGAGAGGUUGAAGAGCUUUCGAAUCUUAGAAGCUCUCUUUGGACCCCUCAUCCUAGGUUUCUCUGUGUCGGUCAAUCCAGGAAGAUCGCUCUCACCCUUCUUCACUAUAACCAAGUUCAAAACAGAGAGGUCUUGGCUGACAAUGCACCCACGAACAGCCUUCCUCCUUCGCUCUCCAUUACGUCUUCCAUAUCCACGGAAGCAU
rnacentral:lncRNA from 1 species